UGCUCAGCUAUUUCUGAUCCAUGAGGAUGC
rnacentral:piRNA from 1 species